AAAAAUGGUAUAAAAAGAAGUAGUACACAAAAAUACAGCUUUUCAGAGAGAAACGAAAAAGGUGGAAGCGUUUUAAGUAUGAUUUGUGGAAGCAGUCUUUUUUGCAAUAAAAGUUGUAAACAGCAGGGCGGAAAAUUGUAGUAUGUCCUGACGUAACACCUGCGUUAAAGGGAUAGAGAGAUGCUUUUGCAUAAUAAGGGUGGUACCACGAGAAAUUCCCGUCCCUGAC
rnacentral:ncRNA from 1 species